UACGGGGGGGGGCAAGCGUUGUUCGGAAUCACUGGGCGUAAAGCGCACGUAGGCGGAUUGCUAAGUCAGGGGUGAAAUCCUGGAGCUCAACUCCAGAACUGCCUUUGAUACUGGCGACCUUGAGUCCGGGAGAGGUGAGUGGAACUGCGAGUGUAGAGGUGAAAUUCGUAGAUAUUCGCAAGAACACCAGUGGCGAAGGCGGCUCACUGGCCCGGUACUGACGCUGAGGUGCG
rnacentral:rRNA from 1 species